rnacentral:rRNA from 1 species
CGGGAAAAGCUCAAAUUUAAAAUCUGGCAGUCUUUGGCUGUCCGAGUUGUAAUUUAGAGAAGUGUUACCCGUGCUGGACUAUGUAAAAGUCUUCUGGAAUGAAGCAUCACAGAGGGUGACAAUCCCGUCUUUGACACGGAUUUACCAGUGC